rnacentral:rRNA from 1 species
UACGUAGGGGGCAAGCGUUGUCCGGAAUUAUUGGGCGUAAAGAGCGUGUAGGCGGCCCGAUUAGUCCGCUGUGAAAGUCCAGGGCUCAACCCUGGAAUGCCGGUGGAUACUGUCGGGCUAGAGUCCGGAAGGGGCGAGUGGAAUUCCUGGUGUAGCGGUGGAAUGCGCAGAUAUCAGGAGGAACACCGAUGGCGAAGGCAGCUCGCUGGGACGGUACUGACGCUGAGGCGCGAAAGCGUGGGGAGCGAACAGG